GUGGCGAUAAGAUGCUUCGGGCGAACAUGGUUUCAGUUGUGGCCGUGCUUCUUGGCGUCCUUCUUCUCGUGGCGCUCGUGGAAGGCGUAGCCAGCGGAGCCCACGGCGGCGACGGCGGCCACCUCCUCCUUGAUCCGGUGGCCGUGCUCGUUCUCGGGGUCCUUCUUGGCCUUGUGCUUCUCAUGCUGCAGUCACACGCAGGAACAGAUGCAUAUGCAAAUCAAGAGCUGAAUCAUGCGUGGAUAUACAUGCAGUUCAAAGAAAUUAAUUGGAUUACUGCUGACCAGAGCGUAUGCGCCGGCGGCAAUGGCACCAAGGCCGCCGAGCUGCUCCAUGUGCUUGUGGUGCUUCUCCUUCUUCUCGUAGUCGACCUCGCCGGAGCUCUCCUCCUCCUUGUGGUGGUGGAACAGGUGGUGGUGGUGCUUCUCCUCGGCCAUGACUUGCUUGUCAAAGAAAGAUUCAAAUAUAUGUUUCUCUGCAAAGUUAUCAGGGGGGAGAUGAUCGUCGGCUUCUUGGAU
rnacentral:lncRNA from 1 species